AUACGUAGGUCCCGAACGUUGCGCGAAAUUACUGGGCGUAAAGGGUCCGUAGGCGGUCUGGUAAGUGGAAGGUGAAAGCCUGGGGCUCAACUCCAGAAUUGCCUUCCAAACUGCCGGACUUGAGGCAGGGAGAGGUCGGCGGAAUUCCCGGUGUAGCGGUGAAAUGCGUAGAUUUCGGGAGGAACACCAGUGGCGAAGGCGGCCGACUGGAACUGUCCUGACGCUGAGGGACGAAAGCCAGGGGAGCGAACCGGAUUAGAAACCCUUGUAGUCC
rnacentral:rRNA from 1 species